rnacentral:rRNA from 1 species
ACGGAAGGCAGCAGUGAGGAAUAUUGGUCAAUGGGCGGAAGCCUGAACCAGCCAUGUCGCGUGCAGGACUACGGCCCUACGGGUCUUAACUGCUUUUGAUUGGGGAUAAAGUGGGGGACGCGUCCCCUAUUGCAGGUACCAAUCGAAUAAGGAUCGGCUAACUCCGUGCCAGCAGCCGCGGUAAUACGGAGGAUCCGAGCGUUAUCCGGAUUUAUUGGGUUUAAAGGGUGCGUAGGCGGGCUGUUAAGUCAGCGGUGAAACCCCCGGGCUCAACCCGGGGACUGCCAUUGAAACUGGCGGCCUAGAGUACGUUGGGAGUGCGCGGAAUGUGUGGUGUAGCGGUGAAAUGCAUAGAUAUCACACAGAACACCGAUCGCGAAGGCAGCGCACUACGCCGCAACUGACGCUGAGGCACGAAGGCGCGGGGAUCGAACAGGAUUAGAUACCCUGGUA